GAAAGCCGGAUGCGGGAGAACCGCAUGUCCGGUUUGAUGAGGGGGGACAGGACUGUUAUCUACGGACGAUCCUAAACGGGCACGAAACUGAAAACGGCGGAUACAGCCAAGGAUUGACCUAAACGUGGGCUGUCCUCUACUCUAC
rnacentral:ncRNA from 1 species